GUGCCGCCACGGCGGCACAUAUACUAAAAUUGGAUCGAUACAGAGAAGAUUAGCAUGGCCCCUGCGAAAGGAUGACACGCCAAAUCAUAACUGCCUGCAGCUGUCA